rnacentral:rRNA from 1 species
UACGGAGGGUGCAAGCGUUAUCCGGAUUCACUGGGCUUAAAGGGUGCGUAGGUGGGCAGGUAAGUCAGUGGGGAAAUCUCCGGGCUUAACUCGGAAACUGCCAUUGAUACUAUCUGUCUUGAAUACCGUAGAGGUUAGCGGAAUAUGUCAUGUAGCGGUGAAAUGCUUAGAUAUGACAUAGAACACCAAUUGCGAAGGCAGCUGGCUACACGAAUAUUGACACUGAUGCACGAAAGCGUGGGGAUCAAACAGG